rnacentral:rRNA from 1 species
UACGUAGGGGCCAAGCGUUGUCCGGAUUUAUUGGGCGUAAAGAGCUCGUAGGCGGUUCGGCAAGUCGAAUGUGAAAUCUCCACGCUCAACGUGGAGGGGUCAUUCGAUACUGCCGUGACUUGAGUACGGUAGGGGAGUGUGGAAUUCCCGGUGUAGCGGUGAAAUGCGCAGAGAUCGGGAGGAACACCCGUAGCGAAGGCGGCACUCUGGGCCGAUACUGACGCUGAGGAGCGAAAGCGUGGGUAGCAAACAGG